UACAGAGGUGGCAAGCGUUGUUCGGAAUUACUGGGCGUAAAGGGCGCGUAGGCGGCUUGGCAAGUGGAUGGUGAAAUCCCUCGGCUUAACCGAGGAACUGCCGUCCAAAACUGCUUCGCUUGAGACCGGGAGAGGUGAGUGGAAUUCCCAGUGUAGCGGUGAAAUGCGUAGAUAUUGGGAGGAACACCAGUGGCGAAGGCGGCUCACUGGACCGGUACUGACGCUGAUGCGCGAAAGCGUGGGGAACAAACGGG
rnacentral:rRNA from 1 species